rnacentral:rRNA from 1 species
GAGUUUGAUCCUGGCUCAGGACGAACGCUAGCGGCAGGCUUAAUACAUGCAAGUCGAGGGGCAGCAUGAGUGUAGCAAUACAUUUGAUGGCGACCGGCAAACGGGUGCGGAACACGUACACAACCUUCCUUUAAGCGGGGAAUAGCCCGGGGAAACCCGGAUUAAUACCCCAUAGUAUGGUGGAGAGGCAUCUCUUUACUAUUAAAGAUUUAUCACUUAAAGAUGGGUGUGCGGCUGAUUAGGUAGUUGGCGGGGUAACGGCCCACCAAGCCUACGAUCAGUAACUGGUGUGAGAGCACGACCAGUCACACGGGCACUGAGACACGGGCCCGACUCCUACGGGAGGCAGCAGUAAGGAAUAUUGGUCAAUGGACGAAAGUCUGAACCAGCCAUGCCGCGUGGAGGAUGAAGGUCCUCUGGAUUGUAAACUUCUUUUAUAUGGGACGAAAAAGGCCUUUCCAGGUCGUCUGACGGUACCAUAUGAAUAAGCACCGGCUAACUCCGUGCCAGCCGCCGCUGU